CGGGACACGUGGUAUCCUGUCUGAAUAUGGGGGGACCAUCCUCCAAGGCUAAAUACUCCUGACUGACCGAUAGUGAACCAGUACCGUGAGGGAAAGGCGAAAAGAACCCCGGCGAGGGGAGUGAAAAAGAACCUGAAACCGUGUACGUACAAGCAGUGGGAGCACAGAGCAAUCUGUGUGACUGCGUACCUUUUGUAUAAUGGGUCAGCGACUUAUAUUCUGUAGCAAGGUUAACCGAAUAGGGGAGCCGAAGGGAAACCGAGUCUUAACUGGGCGUUAAGUUGCAGGGUAUAGACCCGAAACCCGGUGAUCUAGCCAUGGGCAGGUUGAAGGUUGGGUAACACUAACUGGAGGACCGAACCGACUAAUGUUGAAAAAUUAGCGGAUGACUUGUGGCUGGGGGUGAAAGGCCAAUCAAACCGGGAGAUAGCUGGUUCUCCCCGAAAGCUAUUUAGGUAGCGCCUCGUGAAUUCAUCUCCGGGGGUAGAGCACUGUUUCGGCAAGGGGGUCAUCCCGACUUACCAACCCGAUGCAAACUGCGAAUACCGGAGAAUGUUAUCACGGGAGACACACGGCGGGUGCUAACGUCCGUCGUGAAGAGGGAAACAACCCAGACCGCCAGCUAAGGUCCCAAAGUCAUGGUUAAGUGGGAAACGAUGUGGGAAGGCCCAGACAGCCAGGAUGUUGGCUUAGAAGCAGCCAUCAUUUAAAGAAAGCGUAAUAGCUCACUGGUCGAGUCGGCCUGCGCGGAAGAUGUAACGGGGCUAAACCAUGCACCGAAGCUGCGGCAGCGACGCUGAUGCGUUGUUGGGUAGGGGAGCGUUCUGUAAGCCUGCGAAGGUGUGCUGUGAGGCAUGCUGGAGGUAUCAGAAGUGCGAAUGCUGACAUAAGUAACGAUAAAGCGGGUGAAAAGCCCGCUCGCCGGAAGACCAAGGGUUCCUGUCCAACGUUAAUCGGGGCAGGGUGAGUCGACCCCUAAGGCGAGGCCGAAAGGCGUAGUCGAUGGGAAACAGGUUAAUAUUCCUGUACUUGGUGUUACUGCGAAGGGGGGACGGAGAAGGCUAUGUUGGCCGGGCGACGGUUGUCCCGGUUUAAGCGUGUAGGCUGGUUUUCCAGGCAAAUCCGGAAAAUCAAGGCUGAGGCGUGAUGACGAGGCACUACGGUGCUGAAGCAACAAAUGCCCUGCUUCCAGGAAAAGCCUCUAAGCAUCAGGUAACAUCAAAUCGUACCCCAAACCGACACAGGUGGUCAGGUAGAGAAUACCAAGGCGCUUGAGAGAACUCGGGUGAAGGAACUAGGCAAAAUGGUGCCGUAACUUCGGGAGAAGGCACGCUGAUAUGUAGGUGAAGUCCCUCGCGGAUGGAGCUGAAAUCAGUCGAAGAUACCAGCUGGCUGCAACUGUUUAUUAAAAACACAGCACUGUGCAAACACGAAAGUGGACGUAUACGGUGUGACGCCUGCCCGGUGCCGGAAGGUUAAUUGAUGGGGUCAGCGCAAGCGAAGCUCUUGAUCGAAGCCCCGGUAAACGGCGGCCGUAACUAUAACGGUCCUAAGGUAGCGAAAUUCCUUGUCGGGUAAGUUCCGACCUGCACGAAUGGCGUAAUGAUGGCCAGGCUGUCUCCACCCGAGACUCAGUGAAAUUGAACUCGCUGUGAAGAUGCAGUGUACCCGCGGCAAGACGGAAAGACCCCGUGAACCUUUACUAUAGCUUGACACUGAACAUUGAGCCUUGAUGUGUAGGAUAGGUGGGAGGCUUUGAAGUGUGGACGCCAGUCUGCAUGGAGCCGACCUUGAAAUACCACCCUU
rnacentral:rRNA from 1 species